CCCCAGUUUGCUACUCCUUAGGCACUGUCCCAGACCUCAAUGCAAUUUUGAAGAGACGUCUCAUCCAAGACAGUCCCUCCACACCCAGAGCCAUCAGCAUUUCUGGACUGAUCUCAUCAAUCAACUGCAGAGUUAUCUGACUACCUCAGUGACUUCCACCAGGGAAACUGAUGAUGAUCCCCCAUCAGCUUCCAGCUCUGCCCCUACUAUAGAGGAUGCUCUAGUCUGAUGCAGGAGCUACUUAAAGUGUUCCUUCCAGCGUUGGAUUACAUCCUCAGUUGAGGUCAACAGAGUCGCAUUCUUACUGUGGACAGCUUGGCUGGUUCCCCAUUUUCCCCUCCUGAGGUGCCUCACGGUCCGCCAGAAACACCUUGGUGCCGACUGAAAGUGGCUGCUGCUCCUC